rnacentral:misc_RNA from 1 species
GCUCACCCUGUUACUGCCUGCAAGAUUGUUGCACGGGCUUCCACCAAUCAGUAAAUCAAAUCCGCCACAUGAAUCUAUCAGUUGUUCUAAGCGGUCUCCAUUCAACUGCUGCACAUCAUCAAAAUCAAUAAGAUUGCCUCUCUGAUUAGUUUGCUCCCACCAACUUCUCACAAUGUUUCUGUUCACUUCAGAUUUUUCCACAGAGACCACAUUGUUUAGUUGAAUCCCAAGACGGUAAAGAGCAACUUCAGCACCGCCAAUCCCAGAGAAGAGUGAUAAGACGUUCAUCCCAUUUGGAAACAUGUCUUUCAACACUGAUAAAUGGUAUGCCACUGUGUCAACCUGGAAUGAGUUACCAAGCGAUUUGUAUCUAUCGGUCCUACUUAUACCACCUCCCCUGGUAUGGUUCUUUGGAAACCCCAAUAGCAUUUCAAAUUCAUCUGGCUCCAAAGGAGCAACUUUGUUUCUCCCAACCCACACCAAAUUCCACUUCCGACAUUGAUCAAGAACAAACUUUUGCACCCUCAUAGGUGGCUCACCGUCAAAGGCCUCCACAGCUUUCCUGAUCCUAUCAGUCAAUCUUGCACUUCCAAUAGCUGUUUGCAAACAAUUUAACUUUGUCCGUGGAUCCCAAGAUGGCCACCAUUUCUUUGUAAGGGGAAGUGCCUCAUUAAUGGUGCGUGGAGGAAGUGGAAGCAAGGGAAAUCUAUUUUCAGUAGGUAGGUUAUGAAUAUAACCCCUUUUUCUUGCAGUAGCACAAAAAUA